CCGGCGCUCCGCUACCGACGGGAAGCGGAAGAAACCAUUCCUCGCGGGGAGGGAAGCGUCGGCCCCGCUCCUGGAAUGGGAUCGCUGAGGCAUCUGAUCUACUUCUUGGGAAAGAUAUUGGACAAAUCCAUGAUUAGAGCCUUUGUAAUGUAAACCAUCCCUACUGCGUUGGAAUUGAUUACACACAUUUGGUGAAAGAUGAUUUGAAUGGACUGUUACCCACAGCCAGACCUCUGAAGAUUUUUGAAUCAUCAAAAAAAGCUUUGCUUCUUAAAGGCUUGGUGACAGUUGGGAAGAGGAAUUCAUUGACUACCAGAAACAAGAAUGUCUGAACCUAGCUAUGAGUGGCAUACAUUCCCCAAACUACUAACAGCUACUCCUGAAGGGACAGAUCUGUUUUGCCAAGAAAAGUAAAAUACAAAGAAUCAGGAAUUUUUAAAAUUCAUUCUAUCUGUAUGACACGAGGUCUGACAUGGAAGUGUGUAUGAAGCAAAGGGGUGUCACUGAAUUCCUCCACAUGGAAUAAAUGGCACCAUUCAGUGAGGCAGUGCGUGGUGUAUUUCAGCAGUGGUGACAGAGACAGCAGAUCACUUCCACUGGUGCAGAUUUUUUCAAGCACGUCAUACAGGCUCUAGUUCAUUGCUCGUGAAAAAGCAUAGCUCAUAGUGGUGACUGUGCUGAAAAAAAGUGUUUUGUA